rnacentral:rRNA from 1 species
GUGGGGAAUCUUAGACAAUGGGGGAAACCCUGAUCUAGCCAUGUCGCGUGAUCGAUGAAGGCCUUAGGGUUGUAAAGAUCUUUCAGGUGGGAAGAUAAUGACUGUACCACCAGAAGAAGCCCCGGCUAACUCCGUGCCAGCAGCCGCGGUAAUACGGAGGGGGCUAGCGUUGUUCGGAAUUACUGGGCGUAAAGCGCACGUAGGCGGAUUGGAAAGUUGGGGGUGAAAUCCCGGGGCUCAACCCCGGAACUGCCUUCAAAACUCCCAGUCUUGAGUUCGAGAGAGGUGAGUGGAAUUCCGAGUGUAGAGGUGAAAUUCGUAGAUAUUCGGAGGAACACCAGUGGCGAAGGCGGCUCACUGGCUCGAUACUGACGCUGAGGUGCGAAAGCGUGGGGAGCAAACAGGAUUAGAUACCCCGGUAGUCC